AUGGGGCGAGAAAACGAAUUUUGACGAUACUUGGAGCUGAGAAAUUUCAUUCCAAAUCAAAUGAAAAAGGAAGAAUAUGUUGAUGAUAAAGCAAAGAAAAUUAGAUGCAAUCUUAUCUUUCUUUUGUGCUUACUGGAGAAUAUUUAAUCGCUUUUUCUUGACAGGACUGUAUAUCUGAUCCCUGUGAUUCCUAUGAAUUUGAAGACACCAACUCAUGAAUUUGUUCCUUUUUCCAUUUAAUUUCAUAGUCAUGAAACCUGUCACUUCAAUCAAACCCAAACUCAUGAAUCUGUUCACCAUUAUUCGCAGUACCAACAGUCAUAUAAUUAGUCUGUACAAUCCCCUUAUUAUUCCCUAAGAACUCAAAAUGAAUCGUAUCUUGUGAUUUAUAACCUUCUAAUGAAUAUAAGUAAAGAUUGAAACUCAAACCGUCUGUAUUGCCAUCAAGACAUUUGAUAUUAGCUUCAAAUAUACCGUACUGGUAGCGAUUCUUUUUUCUCCAUCUUCAUCCACAGAGGGUAAUCCAAAUUAGGCUAAAACCACCAUGUUUAUGUUUUUUUAGAGAAAAUUCUUAAAUGGGUUUGUAAAACAAGGUUUGAUAAUCAUAGAUCUACAGCUAAAACUUGUUUUCAUUGAAGAAAUUUCAGAUUUUUAUUAAAUCAGAUCGGAUUUGGAGAUGGAGGAGAAAGAGAGAAGAAAAAGAAAGAAGAAAAGUAUAAUUUCAAUAAUUUUGGGUCGGGGAAUAAUUUUUUUCUGAAAACUGCGCGCCUUUAAAUUUCUGGAUGUGGGUUUCACAUUGGAAGAAAUUGGAAAAAUGGGUCUCCUAUAGUUUUCAUUAUUAAUUUUCCCAAGGGCUAAACCUACCAACCUUCUAUCCGUGGGCCAAAGCCCAUUCCAAUGUCAGUUAGCAUCAAUCUCAGGCGUUCACUCCCUUAAAUCCAAACCAUUUCACUCCAAACCUUCUUCUCUCCUCUCCACGGACAAAUUAAACUAGGUUUUACAAAAAAGGAAAACAAAGUUUUGAUUCAUUUUCCUAAUCUAUAACAAAUAAUGGCAAGCAAAAAACAGAAGUUCGUUUCUGAUGGAGUGUUCUUUGCUGAGCUUAACGAAGUAUUGACAAGAGGACUUGCUGAAGAUGGUUAAUCGUACAGUCGUACUCAAAAUGCCCUAGAUGAAAAGGGAAGGAGGAUUAGAGAAUUGACUUCUGUAGUACAGAAGAGGUCUAAGUUAACAACAGAGCUUUAUGUCAUCAUGUGCUAUUGCUCAAUCUGAGUCUCUCAGAUACAAGCUUCUUGGUGGGCUUGCUGUUCGUAGGGCCUACUAUGGUGUUUUGAGAUUCGUCAUGGAAAGUGGUGCGGACGGUUGUGAUGUUGUUAAUUGUGAGUGGAAAGCUUAGGGAAUUUCGUGCAAAGACAAUGGAGUUCAAGGACGAGUACAUGAUUUCUUCUAGUCAGGCUGUUAGACAUGUCUUCUAGACAGGUUUUUAUGAGAGCUUAGUGCAGCUCGUGCAAAGUCAAUGAAGUUGAAGGAUGGGUACAUGAUUUCUUCUGGUCAGCCUGUUAACGAGUACAUUGGCUCAGCUGUUAGACACGUCCUCCUUAGACAGGGCCUGCUGUGUUCGCCAUGGAAAGUGGUGCCAAAGGUUGCGAUGUUAUUCUAAGUCAAUGAAGUUCAAGGAUGGAUACAUGAUUUGACAGAGCUGUUAGACACGUCCUUCUUAGACAGGGUGUUCUCAGUAUCCACCCGAUGGAAAGAAUGGUCCAUUGACUCAUUACCCGAAGUUGGGUAUUUCAUUAGCACGCCUUCAGUGUUACUAACUACUGAGAUUGAAAUGCCACGUCAAUUAGGAGUUCCCUCUCAAAUGAUAGUAGCUUAAAAUUGACGUGGUUUCUAGUUUGUAGUCGUGUGAGUUUCUGUAGUAAUUUAUCAGAAGAGGAUUUUGAAUGAUAAUACUUCUCAGUUUUAUGUGGGUUUCUAGUUUGUAAGUUCUAGUAGUCUAAAGAAAACUCUUUUCAAAAGCCAGAUUAUGUUUUUUCUCUUCCAUUUUAUUAGAUUUCCGAUACGGGAAAUCUCUAUCGUUAUACCUUGUAGGUAUGGCUUAUAGUGUGGUGUCUCGGCCUAGGUUAUCCUUGUGGGAAAUCUCAAUCGUUUGUGCUUCAACUUACACAGAAACUGAGUUUCCGUGUGAUUAAGCUACACGGAUGAGAAGAUGGCGGCCCUUAUCCCAUUCAGUGUCUUUUUUUUUUUUUUUUUAUCAGAUCAGUGUCAGUAUUUAGUAUUAGUCUUAUUAGUAGCAAUUAUCUUAUUAGCGAGUGCCUUUAUCAAUUGUAAUGGAUGGGUUAGAUUUAGCCAUCUGGUGGCAUUAGCUAUUGGAUGUAUUUCGAAGAGUCGAGCUUUAUAAGCUCCAGGUCUGUAAUAGUUAGGGUUACCCUAAACCUAAAGAGCUGCAGGACUCACAAUGAAACUUUUCUAGGGUUCUUCGGUCAUUAUCGACAAUGGUUUCUUCUUCUUCUUCAAAUCGUAUGAUUUGCAAAUCACUAACAAAUGAUAUCUUGAUUGAGAUCUGUAGCUAUCUUCCUUUGGACUCGAUUUGGAGAUUCAAAUGCGUCUCGAAGGUAUGGUUAUCUAACCUCUCAAACCCUCAAUUCAUGAUGAAAUGGCUUCAAAUUAAUAACAAAUCUCUCCCAUGGAUACACUAUCAUACAAUUACUUCCGGAAGUUCUCGUAAAAUUGAUUUCAAUAUUAGAAAUGCAUAUCCCGAUUCACAUUCACAGUUUAUGUCUAGAUUUAGUCAUGGAUUCUCUUUUGAGUUCCUCAGAAAUCAGAGAGGUGAUAGAUUAAACCUGUUAGGUUCUAGUAAUGGUUUGGUAUUUUGUCAAUCAUUUGGGUUAUUUUAUGAGAGUAGGUAUCAUGUUUGUAAUCCACUGACUCAGAAAUGGGUUGCACUUCCUUCACCACCGCACAUACUGGAUAAAGGAUUUGAUGUUAGUGGCUUAUUUUGCGAGUAUUCAUCAUCAUC